UUGACCUCGGAUCAGGUAGGAAUACCCGCUGAACUUAAGCAUAUCAAUAAGCGGAGGAAAAGAAACCAACAGGGAUUGCCCUAGUAACGGCGAGUGAAGCGGCAACAGCUCAAAUUUGAAAUCUGGCCCUCUGGGUCCGAGUUGUAAUUUGUAGAGGAUGCUUUUGGCGCGGCGCCUUCCGAGUUCCCUGGAACGGGACGCCAUAGAGGGUGAGAGCCCCGUACGGCUGGAUGCCAAACCUUUGUAAAGCUCCUUCGACGAGUCGAGUAGUUUGGGAAUGCUGCUCAAAAUGGGAGGUAAAUUCCUUCUAAAGCUAAAUACCGGCCAGAGACCGAUAGCGCACAAGUAGAGUGAUCGAAAGAUGAAAAGCACUUUGAAAAGAGGGUUAAAUAGUACGUGAAAUUGUUGAAAGGGAAGCGCCUGUGACCAGACUUGGUCCCGGCGGAUCAUCCGGCGUUCUCCGCCGGUGCACUCCGCCGGGUUCCAGGCCAGCAUCGGUUCUCCCAGGGGGAUAAAAGUCGCGGGAACGUAGCUCCUCCGGGAGUGUUAUAGCCCGUGGCAUAAUGCCCUUGGGGGGACCGAGGACCGCGCUUCGGCAAGGAUGCUGGCGUAAUGGUCACUAGCGACCCGUCUUGAAACACGGACCAAGGAGUCAAGCAUUAGGGCGAGUGUCUGGGUGUUAAACCCGCACGCGUAAUGAAAGUGAACGUAGGUGAGAGCUUCGGCGCAUCAUCGACCGAUCCUGAUGUAUUCGGAUGGAUUUGAGUAAGAGCCUUACCGCUUGGACCCGAAAGAUGGUGAACUAUGCCUGUAUAGGGUGAAGCCAGAGGAAACUCUGGUGGAGGCUCGCAGCGGUUCUGACGUGCAAAUCGAUCGUCAAAUAUGGGCAUGGGGGCGAAAGACUAAUCGAACCAUCUAGUAGCUGGUUACCGCCGAAGUUUCCCUCAGGAUAGCAGUGUUGUUUUCAGUUUUAUGAGGUAAAGCGAAUGAUUAGGGACUCGGGGGCGCUUUUUAGCCUUCAUCCAUUCUCAAACUUUAAAUAUGUAAGAAGCCCUUGUUACUUAGUUGAACGUGGGCCUUCGAAUGUAUCAACACUAGUGGGCCAUUUUUGGUAAGCAGAACUGGCGAUGCGGGAUGAACCGAACGCGGGGUUAAGGUGCCAGAGUGGACGCUCAUCAGACACCACAAAAGGCGUUAAUACAUCCUGACAGCAGGACGGUGGCCAUGGAAGUCGGAAUCCGCUAAGGACUGUGUAACAACUCACCUGCCGAAUGUAUUAGCCCUGAAAAUGGAUGGCGCUCAAGCGUCCCACCCAUACCUCGCCCUCAGGGUAGAAACGAUGCCCUGAGGAGUAGGCGGCCGUGGAGCUUUGUGACGAAGCCUAGGGCGUGAGCCCGGGUCGAACAGGCUCUAGUGCAGAUCUUGGUGGUAGUAGCAAAUACUUCAAUGGGAACUUGAAGGACCGAAGUGGGGAAAGGUUCCAUGUGAACAGCGGUUGGUCAUGGGUUAGUCGAUCCUAAGCCAUAGGGAAGUUCCGUUUCAAAGGGGCACUUGUGCCCCGUAUGGCGAAAGGGAAGCAGGUUAACAUUCCUGCACCUGGAUGUGGGUUUUGCGCGGUAACGCAACUGAACGCGGAGACGGCGGCGGGAGCCCCGGGCAGAGUUCUCUUUUCUUCUUAACGGCCUCUCACCCUGGAAACAGUUUGUCUGGAGAUAGGGUUCAACGGCCGGAAGAGCCCAGCACCUCUGCUGGGUCCGGUGCGCUCCCGACGUCCCUUGAAAAUCCGCGGGAGGGAAUAAUUCUCGCGCCAGGUCGUACUCAUAACCGCAGCAGGUCUCCAAGGU
rnacentral:rRNA from 1 species